rnacentral:rRNA from 1 species
GAUGAACGCUGGCGGCGUGCCUAAUACAUGCAAGUCGAGCGAACAGACGAGGAGCUUGCUCCUCUGAUGUUAGCGGCGGACGGGUGAGUAACACGUGGAUAACCUACCUAUAAGACUGGGAUAACUUCGGGAAACCGGAGCUAAUACCGGAUAAUAUAUUGAACCGCAUGGUUCAAUAGUGAAAGACGGUUUUGCUGUCACUUAUAGAUGGAUCCGCGCCGCAUUAGCUAGUUGGUAAGGUAACGGCUUACCAAGGCAACGAUGCGUAGCCGACCUGAGAGGGUGAUCGGCCACACUGGAACUGAGACACGGUCCAGACUCCUACGGGAGGCAGCAGUAGGGAAUCUUCCGCAAUGGGCGAAAGCCUGACGGAGCAACGCCGCGUGAGUGAUGAAGGUCUUCGAAUCGUAAAACUCUGUUAUUAGGGAAGAACAAAUGUGUAAGUAACUAUGCACGUCUUGACGGUACCUAAUCAGAAAGCCACGGCUAACUACGUG